rnacentral:tRNA from 1 species
AGAAAGAUAGGUUACACAAACCGCUGAACUGUGGAUUCAGAAAUGUAUUUUAUACUCUUUUUC